CCAGAUUUUUGAAAGCCGCGCAGUAACAAGAGUAGAAAUUCAAGAUUAUAUCGAUCCAGAUAUAUACAAAUCCAUGGGAUCAGAGCGCGUUUUGACAUGCUGAAUCUAGAGCGCGUAGUACUCUGUUCUACUGGCUGCGGCUGGUGGUUGGUGUUGGUUUGUUGUGUGAGAAAAUUACUACUGGCUGGUGUUGAUUUGGUGUGAGAAAAAAAAUACUGUUGGUUGGCUGGUGGAGUGAUUGGCUGGAGAAGCAGCCAGCAGGCUGGUGUUGAUUUGGUGUGAGAAAAAAAUACUGUUGAUUGGCUGGAGAAGCAGCCAGCAGAUCUCCCAAAUUGAUUUGAUUGAUGACAUGCUGUUGUUUUUAUUACAACAAAUUGAUCUAACAAGGAAUACAAUAAUGCAAGUUGCCUGUGUCUUUGAAGAUCAUCAAGAUGAUGAUGUUGAAAACAGCUGUUAUAGUAGGUGAAGGUUAAAUAGGAGAAAGGGCCACAAAUAUUUUUUUAAUGAUACUAAGAUAGACACAAAUCUUGCUGAAGACGAUGUGGACCAUCCUCUAACUGUAGACUAAAAAAGUACGCAAAUAAAUAACUGCAGAUUCAAAUCGUCCUCCAAUUGCAGAUUUUUUUUAAAAAAAAUGCACAAACAGGCAGUGGCGGAACGUGAGCUGAAGAGAAGGGGUCCAAUUUGAUAAUGUCCAUGAAAAAAGCUGUGAAAAAGUUGAAAAAAACUAAGAACUAGAGAGUAUCCUUGAGUCAUGGAAGGGACAACAAUGACAUUGAUAAUCUCCAUGAAAAAAGCUGUGAAAAAGUUGAAAAAAAACUAAGAACUAGAGUAGAGAGUAUCCUUGAGUCAUGGAAGGGACAAUUGUCAUUGGAAGGGGGUGCCGGAAACCAGUUUGGUCCCCGCUGUGGUCCGCCAGAGCAAGCAGGUAUGCAAAAGCUGACCUGUUUAUUACUACUUUUUAAUUAACAGAUAAUUACUUCAACUAAAUACGCAGGUAACAUUUCCUCACCCCUCUGCUGCACGAUUUUCAAAUAGCCACAGCCUUCCAAAAAUAAAGAAACCGCAGCUAGAAUUCACCCGAAUGAUAUUUAUAAUUCCGUUUAAAAAAAAUUCCUGUACUAGAAACAAGCUAGUAGACCACUAUUUUUUUGGAUAAAUUGGGCCAGUGUUGCUGUCUUGCUGAUGGGUGCUAGGCUGACAUUGGCAUGUGGGCCGCCAGUGAAGAGGAGGAGAGCGGAUUGCUCUGGAUUUUUUUUUUUGACGUUCGGGCUUGCCAAGGCAAAACGUAUCCUUGCAUUUCUUCAAAUAAAAAAAAACGUAUCCUUGCAGGUGUUGUGCCCUUGCGCUGGUUGCUGCCGCCGUCACGGUCGUGUGGGUGUUUUUUUUUAAAAAAAAACAAAGGUCGUGUACUCGUGGUGGUGCUGGCUCGGGCGUUUGCGCGGCAGGGCGUCCGGGGGCCAUGUUCCUCCUGGUCCUGGGCACCCACCCAAAGUGGUGGCGUCGGCGGCGCCGCGGUGGGCCAGCGGCGCUCCGGGAGUGAGGCGGCGCCGAGGUGGCAUGGAUCCGAGGAAUUUCAAAGGAAAAAAACAUAGGAAUCUGAAAUGGGCCAGCUCAGAUGGGCGUUGAACAGGAAAUGAGGUGGGGAAUCUUUCUGUUUAAGAUGCUGCUACAGGUCAACCGAACAAGACGAGGGACGCCGAAGCCUGAACGUCCGGAACGCCACGAAUUGCCGGAGCCCCGGGGACCAUCAAGUGCUCGCUCAGCUCUUCACUGUUCAUGAGUUCGUAGACUUUUUCUACUACUGUGCAAGUCGUCAUCCGGGGCCCGGGCAGGUUCCAUUUUAUCACCCAUCUCCCGGCUCUAGAAGGCACUGGAAAAUGCCACAGCGUUGCCGCGGUUGACCAGUGGAGGAACCCGUGGUAUUCGAUAGAAACAAAAGCAUAGAUAGAAAGUUUUUUUUUGAUAGCUUUUAUGGUGAUCGGCAUGAAGAGAAUAUGUUGUAUAAAAUUCAAUUUAAAAGGCACAUAAACUUGUAGAAUAGUAACCAUACAUUGGAUAUUUUUGUAGUACUUUGUUUUUUCAUCAUGCGAUCAUAUAAAUAUUUUUGUAAGCAAAUUGUAAAAGCAUCUUAAAUUUGAAAUUUUGCUCUUUAAAAAUAUUUUAGAUUUUGAAUUAUUGAGCAA